AGUAUUCGUGGGUGUCUGGGUAUUCAGGCAGGCGAAGGGCUUAGCGGCCUCUGGAAAAAGGCAAGCGCGAGCCGUGGACAUGCUCAUGGCGCAGAGGGGGGAAGCCAGCUGCCAUGUCAUGAGGCAGGUGAAGAGGGUCUCAAGGCAAAAAACUGAGUUCUUCCAAGAGCCAAGAACCUCCCUCUCCCCUGGGAGCGAAGACUUCUGCCACAUCCUGCAUGCCGCCGGAAGCCCACGGUGCGAUAUUGCUCCAGGACCUUGCUGCAGAUGUGUAAAGUCCCUCUAACCGUUAAACCACUGACGUCUCUGUCUCUGACUCCAGGCUCUUUCUUUCCUCUUAGAGCUGGGAAAUUCCAAGGCUGAAGACCAAAUACAUAUUUGAAGAACCUCAAUUAAUACCAAGCCAAACAACUACAGAGAACACCACACCCAAGUACAUUAUAUUCAAACUGCUGAACACCAAAGAUAAAGAGAAAAUCUUAACAGUG